UCGCUGCUACCGAUUGAAUGGCUUAGUGAGUUGCAAGGAUUUGUGCUAUUGUUUGUUUCGGCAUCUUUAGUGUGGAGAAUUGUUGCAAACUUGAUCAUUUAGAGGAAGCAA
rnacentral:rRNA from 1 species